rnacentral:rRNA from 1 species
AUGUUUGCUGUAUUCUUUACAUACCUCAAGAUGCGCUUUGCAGCUGUCCAAUGGGCUGUAGUGGGUGCAUGCAAAAACUGGCAAACUUUAUUGACUGCAAAGGAAAUGUCAGGUCUAGUAAGAGUCAAGUACUGUAAUGCUCCAACUAUACUCUGCUAUCUUCCUGAUCCAAAGGUACUCCUUCUGUCAAGGAUAGCUGUUUUGAGCUGGACAAGGGAGUUGGAGAAGGUUUACAAUUUGGCAUACCAACUCUGCCUAACAGAUCAGUCACAUACUUUCCUUGUGAUAAGUGAAUGCCAUGUUCAGUUUUCUUGA